rnacentral:lncRNA from 1 species
CCUUGUGUGGGGUGUUUUGGAUGUGGUGAAGUAUGCAUAGAGGUUGUGAGUGAUUAAUAAGAGAUUAGUCACUCCUAAUAAAGGAAGCAAAUAUCUUAUGUGAUCUCAUAGAUCGAUGAUUCUGAAAGUCUUUGACCAAAAUAGGAUGAUAAUUAGAAAAAAACUUUUAAUGUAUCAUCAACUAAAUUAUCAUCUUCAAAUCGAGAUACAUAAUGAUAAGUAAUUGAAUUUGAUAUAUUUUUAUAUCCAUAGCUCAUCUGAGAUAUUGUUUGACUGAAGG